rnacentral:rRNA from 1 species
GCAUAUCAAUAAGCGGAGGAAAAGAAACCAACAGGGAUUGCCCUAGUAACGCGCGAGUGAAGCGCGCAACAGCUCAAAUUUGAAAUCUGGCGCAAGCCCGAGUUGUAAUUUGUAGAGGAUGUUUCUGGCGACGUGCCUUCCGAGUUCCCUGGAACGGGACGCCAUAGAGGGUGAGAGCCCCGUACGGUUGGAUGCCUAGCCUCUGUGAAACUCCUUCGACGAGUCGAGUAGUUUGGGAAUGCUGCUCUAAAUGGGAGGUAUACGUCUUCUAAAGCUAAAUACCGGCCAGAGACCGAUAGCGCACAAGUAGAGUGAUCGAAAGAUGAAAAGCACUUUGAAAAGAGGGUUAAAAAGUACGUGAAAUUGUUGAAAGGGAAGCGUUCAUGACCAGACUUGGGCAGGUUGAUCAUCCGUGGUUCUCCGCGGUGCACUCUGCCUGCCCAGGCCAGCAUCAGUUCGCCCCGGGGGAUAAAGGCUUUGGGAAUGUGGCUCCCUCGGGAGUGUUAUAGCCCACUGUGUAAUACCCUGGGGUGGACUGAGGUUCGCGCUCUGCAAGGAUGCUGGCGUAAUGGUCAUCAACGACCCGUCUUGAAACACGGACCAAGGAGUCGUCUUCGUAUGCGAGUGUUCGGGUGUCAAACCCCUACGCGUAAUGAAAGUGAACGUAGGAGAGAGCUUCGGCGCAUCUCCGACCGAUCCUGAUGUUCUCGGAUGGAUUUGAGUAAGAGCAUACGGGGCCGGACCCGAAAGAAGGUGAACUAUGCCUGUAUAGGGUGAAGCCAGAGGAAACUCUGGUGGAGGCUCGCAGCGGUUCUGACGUGCAAAUCGAUCGUCAAAUAUGGGCAUGGGGGGCGAAAGACUAAUCGAACCUUCUAGUAGCUGGGUUUUCGUCGAAGU